CUUUUAUGGAGAGUUUGAUCCUGGCUCAGGAUGAACGCUGGCGGCGUGCCUAAUACAUGCAAGUCGAGCGAACAGAUAAGGAG
rnacentral:rRNA from 2 species